AUUGAACGCUGGCGGCAGGCCUAACACAUGCAAGUCGAACGAGUGGCGGACGGGUGAGUAAUGUCUGGGAAACUGCCUGAUGGCGGGGGAUAACUACUGGAAACGGUAGCUAAUACCGCAUACCAUCAGAUGUGCCCCGAUGGGAUGAGCUUGUGGGUGGGGUAAAGGCUCACCAAGGCGACGAUCCCUAGCUGGUCUGAGAGGAUGACCAGCCACAUGGGAACUGAGAAAGGGUCCGGACUCCUACGGAAGGAAGCAGUGGGGAUUAUUGGACAAUGGGCGCAAGCCUGAUGCAGCCAGGCCGCGGGUAUGAAGAAGGCCUUCGGGUUGAAAAGUACUUUCAGCGGGGAGGCGUUACCCGCAGAAGAAGCACCGGCUAACUCCGUGCCAGCAGCCGCGGUAAUAC
rnacentral:rRNA from 1 species